rnacentral:rRNA from 1 species
GAUGAACGCUGGCGGCAUGCCUAACACAUGCAAGUCGAUCGGUAAGGCUCUUCGGAGUACACGAGAGGCGGACGGCUGAGUAACGCGUAGGAACACACCCUGCAGUGAGGGAUAAGACACCGAAAGGUGUUCUAAUACCGCAUACGGUCUUCGGAUUAAAGCAUUUAUGCGCUGAAGGAGUGGCCUGCGUCAUAUUAGAUAGUUGGUGAGGUAAUGGCUCACCAAGUCGAUGAUGUGUAGCUGGUCUGAGAGGAUGAUCAGCCAGACUGGAACUGAGACACGGUCCAGACUCCUACGGGAGGCAGCAGUGAGGAAUAUGUCACAAUGAGCGAAAGCUUGAUGGAGCAAUGCCGCGUGCAGGAUGAAGGCCCUCGGGUUGUAAACUGCUUUUAGAAGAGAAGAUUAUGACGGUAACUUAUGAAUAAGGGACGGCUAACUACGU